UCCAAGGUAGCCUAGUGGAUAUGGCAUCUGCCCGGUAAACUGAACACUGUGGGUUCGAUUCCCAUCCUUGGAC
rnacentral:tRNA from 1 species